AGUGAACGCUGGCGGUAGGCCUAACACAUGCAAGUCGAACGGCAGCACAGUAAGAGCUUGCUCUUACGGGUGGCGAGUGGCGGACGGGUGAGGAAUACAUCGGAAUCUACUUUUUCGUGGGGGAUAACGUAGGGAAACUUACGCUAAUACCGCAUACGACCUACGGGUGAAAGCAGGGGAUCUUCGGACCUUGCGCGAUUGAAUGAGCCGAUGUCGGAUUAGCUAGUUGGCGGGGUAAAGGCCCACCAAGGCGACGAUCCGUAGCUGGUCUGAGAGGAUGAUCAGCCAAACUGGAACCGAGACACGGUCCAGACUCCUACGGGAGGCAGCAGUGGGGAAUAUUGGACAAUGGGCGCAAGCCUGAUCCAGCCAUACCGCGUGGGUGAAGAAGGCCUUCGGGUUGUAAAGCCCUUUUGUUGGGAAAGAAAAGCAGCAGGUUAAUACCCCGCUGUUCUGACGGUACCCAAAGAAUAAGCACCGGCUAACUUCGUG
rnacentral:rRNA from 1 species